AUUGAACGCUGGCGGCAGGCUUAACACAUGCAAGUCGAGCGGGGUGAUGGUGCUUGCACUAUCACUUAGCGGCGGACGGGUGAGUAAUGCUUAGGAAUCUGCCUAUUAGUGGGGGACAACAUCUCGAAAGGGAUGCUAAUACCGCAUACGUCCUACGGGAGAAAGCAGGGGAUCACUUGUGACCUUGCGCUAAUAGAUGAGCCUAAGUCGGAUUAGCUAGUUGGUGGGGUAAAGGCCUACCAAGGCGACGAUCUGUAGCGGGUCUGAGAGGAUGAUCCGCCACACUGGGACUGAGACACGGCCCAGACCCCUACGGGAGGCAGCAGUGGGGAAUAUUGGACAAUGGGGGGAACCCUGAUCCAGCCAUGCCGCGUGUGUGAAGAAGGCCUUAUGGUUGUAAAGCACUUUAAGCGAGGAGGAGGCUCUUCUGGUUAAUACCCAAGAUGAGUGGACGUUACUCGCAGAAUAAGCACCGGCUAACUCUGUGCCAGCAGCCGCGGUAA
rnacentral:rRNA from 1 species